rnacentral:rRNA from 1 species
AUUGAACGCUGGCGGCAUGCCUUACACAUGCAAGUCGAACGGUAACGGGCCUUCGGGUGCCGACGAGUGGCGAACGGGUGAGUAAUGUAUCGGAACGUACCUUUCAGUGGGGGAUAACGUAGCGAAAGUUACGCUAAUACCGCAUAUUCUGUGAGCAGGAAAGCAGGGGAUCGCAAGACCUUGCGCUGAUUGAGCGGCCGAUAUCAGAUUAGCUAGUUGGUGAGGUAAAGGCUCACCAAGGCGACGAUCUGUAGCGGGUCUGAGAGGAUGAUCCGCCACACUGGAACUGAGACACGGUCCAGACUCCUACGGGAGGCAGCAGUGGGGAAUUUUGGACAAUGGGGGCAACCCUGAUCCAGCCAUGCCGCGUGUGUGAAGAAGGCCUUCGGGUUGUAAAGCACUUUCGGACGGAACGAAAUCGCGCGGGUGAAUAUCCCGCGUGGAUGACGGUACCGUAAGAAGAAGCACCGGCUAACUACGUGCCAGCAGCCGCAGUAAUAC